GUUAAUUAGGGCGUUGUCACGACGACCGGACUCUCUUCGUUCCCUACACCUAGCAGCCAUGACUAUUGCCUGCCUGGGUAUCUCUUCCUGUACUCUCUCAACCUGGUUGACCUGUCGUCUGGCCAGUUCAGAACAACAGAGGAUGUUUCUGGAGAGAGAACACUCACUGCAUCACUCACACGAGAUGGCUGAGAAGGAUUCAUACACACACGGAUCUUUUGAGAUCCUUGACAACUCCAGCAAUGGGAUUCCCCAGAUCUCCUACAAUGCUAACACCACAUCUCCUUGACAAUGGACACACCUUGUUGCCCUGACAACUGGCACAUCUUGUAACCCUGACAAUGGACACAACUUGCUGCCCUGAUGAUGUACACACCUUGUUGCCCUGACAACGGAGUGAUAUCGACUAACAGAGCUGAGCAGCAAUAUUGCACAGCUGUGUGUAGAGAACUUCAGCACAGAUGGAAUAAGUUUCCCAAAAUAAAACAACAAUGAACGCUUUUCUUGGACAAGUUGUUACGAGUUCUGAUAGUCCUAACACACAGAGCCCCAUGACAUAUGCCCUCACAGACAGGAGGGACAGACAGUCAGACGCUUCAAACGAAUGAUCACAAAACAC